CCGCCACUGGCUCAUCGGGAAAGAGCAUCAGCCUUCUAAGUUGACUGUGCGAGGUUCGAGUCUCGAUGGCGGUCCA
rnacentral:tRNA from 1 species